UAAUUUCCUCUGUGCUUUGCAAAAUGGAAAUGAAUUUGGAAUUUCAUGGGAUUCUAACCAUCAUCACAAAGAAGUGCUGAUUUUGUCAUUCUUACCCAUUUCAUCUCAGGGACAGAACAGUACAAUGCACUCCAAAGAUUGGCAUGGACCAAAAACUGGGUUUGAGAUUUGAUGCCAUCUUCUUGAGAUGUGACAUGAAGGAAAGUAUUGAGAGUAAUUCUGUCAUCUCAUCCUCAAGAGUCAGUGGGAAUUCUCACAUGGUUCAAAGUGAUAUUGGAAUUGCAUGGAUUUCUUACUGCCACACCAUUGAAGGGCUGAUUUUGUCACUUCUUCCAGCUUCCUUAUCUGAGAAGGAAGACAACAAUAUACUCUUGAGGUAAUAUCUAAUUUUUUAUAAUUUGGGGGGGGUUAUUUUUCUUGUUUUAAGUAUAAUAGUCCCUUCUUGUCUGCGGGGAAUUUGUUCCAAGGCCCCUGGUUGGUGCUUGAAACCACAGGUAAUACCGAGCUCUAUAUAUACUAUG